AGCUUUAUAGUCNAAAAUAUAUGAUAUUAGAUUGCAAAUCUAAAGGUGUUAAAACUAAAGCUU
rnacentral:tRNA from 1 species